GAAUGGGAGCUGCUUCUUCAUGCUUGCGUAGGCUGUUUGAGUACUUAGCAAUGGCGCGAAGGACCUUGGUUUCGAGCUCAGGGUUUAGAUUUGGGGGAUUUAGGGUUUCAAUUUCGAUUAGGGUUCAUUUUCUUCCCUGAAAGUUAGCAUUUUCGGUGAGUGAAAUUUUAUGGAGGAAGCCUGUUCAAUGAAAGGCGUGUAAUAGAGUUGGGGAUGGCGUGUGUUUGAUAAUGAUGUGGUCGAUUAUUUGGCAAAUCAUUUAACACUUGUAAAGAUUUAACCGGCCAGCUAGAUUUUUCGUUUGCCACGUAGACACGUCAAUUAACGUAUUUG
rnacentral:lncRNA from 1 species